CAUGUACGGGAGGCAGCAGUGGGGAAUAUUGGACAAUGGGGGCAACCCUGAUCCAGCAAUUCUGUGUGCACGAAGACGGUUUUCGGAUUGUAAAGUGCUUUCAGCAGGGAAGAAGGAAGUGACGGUACCUGCAGAAGAAGCGACGGCUAAAUACGUGCCAGCAGCCGCGGUAAUCAUG
rnacentral:rRNA from 1 species